CUCUGUGUCCUUCUGAUGCUCUGUGCCCUUGGACCGCCAGGGCUGUAUCUUGUCCAUCUUGGAAACUAAGCCAGAGGGAGAGUGCAGUGUGGUGGUUAGGACUGCAGGCUCUGGUUUGAUGGUCAGACCCCGUCACUUCGUGGCUAUGUAACUUCAUCAAGCUCUGUGUCUGCUCUGAGCCUGUUUCCUCCUGCACAAAAGGGGAUAAUAAUAGAAGCUAUUUCAUAGAGAUGAGAGAAUAAACGUUUUGCUUCGGCACAAGACAAAUUACACGUGGAGUAAACCAAGGACUCAACUCUGUUUUCAUGACUGGUUUUUUGAACAAUAAUCCAUAGAGGCGGGAGAGGAAGGGAUUCAUGCAGCAAAUGAAACAAAGUCCCUGAUGUCUAUUUCUAUUCUGAUAGCACCUCCUGGAAUAUCGGCAACAUUUUAAGUUCCAGCCUAAGCCAUGAAUUCCUUCAGAACAAAUCAAAUGUCUUUAAAGAAUAUUUCUGUUUGAAAAGGAAUUAAGCCCUCCUGAAAGAAUUUUAAAGGCACCUUCUUUCCCUGAAAACAGCAAUAAAAUUUCAUUCGACCUUCUAAAUUUCAUUCUCAAGCCCCAGCAAGGAGCGGGCAGGUAGCUUCGUGAGCGGAUCCAUGGGACACAGGACGUCUUCCUUCGUUUCAGACUCGGCUUCCCCGCGGCCAGAGCCCAGCAGUCAAGCCAGUCAUUUCCAGGCGAAGCAGGACCUACCCUGGGGGCUCACACCCUACAAAUCCCUGAAUCCUCCAUCAUCCCUCCUCCCAGCCUCCUAGUGGGCCGCUCCAAUUUAGGAGGAUUGUAUUGUCUGGAAAUCAACCUGAUCUUAUCUGUAGCCUUUUGUCAAGAGGAAAUUUUUGUUGCCUGUUUUGCUCAGAGGUUGAAACUUGUAGUAUAUUAACUAAUUGCUUGCAUCACUAACACAUGUUCUCUUGUUGGUGUCAUUCAUUUAUACUGUAACAUUUUUGACAUUUUUAGAUUGUCUCUUGGGACUCCUGGGCCUCUUAGCAGUUCCCUCUAUGAAGAGUGUUUGCCUAAUGAUUACUGACUGACAUCUCAAUAACGAGCAGUAGGAGUUGGGUGCAUCUAUUGAAGAGUUCGGGGGGGGGGGGUGUAUGUGUGUGUGUGUUUUAAUUCAUGGUCCACUUUGUCAAGUCAUGUGUGAGCCAUAAUUUAAGCUAAUAAUUACCAGACAUGAAUUCAAU
rnacentral:lncRNA from 1 species